rnacentral:tRNA from 1 species
GCCCGGAUGGCUCAGUUGGUUGAGCAUCUGACUUUGGCUCAGGUCAUGAUCUCUCAUCCAUGGGUUUGAGCCCCACAUCGGGCU